AUGGAGGAUGUAGCUCCACCAUCUGAAGCUGAAGCUAGUACCAGAUCCCAACCAGAGCGAAGUGAUACCUGCACACCAUCUUAUCACCAUCCUUCAGAUAACGGUCCUCCCCUCCCGAACAAUUGGCCUCCAUCACCCCCACCAUUGCCAUCAUCUCCUCCACCUGUUCCCGUUGCUCAGAGAACGCAGUUGCAGGCAACUUCACAAAUGGCAUCUGAUCCAGUUGGGCCGCAUCCGGCAGUUGCUACUUAUAAUGUUCAAAGUCAGCAGCCACAUUCUAUCGUGGAGCACCCACACAGCAUGAAUCUCUCGGUAGCUCCGUUGCAGCCUCCAUCAUUCUGCAAUUUGGGAUAUGGCGUGCAUCGAAAUCAGAUUGCACCACUCAAUUCAACUGGACCUCAUGGCAAUUUCGCUACACCACCAGCACCAUACCAUGGAAAUAACUACCAUCAACGUCCCACUGCAUCAAUGCCUAAUGAGGGAUAUCAUAUGCAGCGACCGCCCCCUCCGCCUCCAAGUCAAUUCCCUCAUAUGCCAUCAGAACCUAAUAAAAGACCACAACAAUGGAGUAAUAACUCCUUGUCUUAUCCUGAGAGCCAUCGUUAUAAUGGGCAUGAUCGAUAUCAUCACAGACAUGAUAGCAUGCAUCACGGGAAUGAUAGGAGACACCACUUGAAUGAUAGAGGGUAUCACCAUGAUGAAAGAGGACAUCAUCACUUUGACGAGAGAGCUAUUUGGGGACCGAUGCUCCAUGACCCUGACAGGGGAAGAUUUCCUCCUUUUCCGCCAGGACCACCUGCUCCAGACCAUUUUGAAGCAUCUGCAGCGCCAAUGCAAUUUGGACGUCCAUCAGAUCCCCCGCCAGGUGGGUGGUGUAUGGAUCUUCAAGUUCCUCAUGUGGCAGGAGUUCCUUAG
rnacentral:rRNA from 1 species